GCAAGUCGAACGGAAACGAUGGAAGCUUGCUUCCAGGCGUCGAGUGGCGGACGGGUGAGUAACACAUAGGAAUCUGCCCAGUAGCGGGGGACAACUUGGGGAAACUCAAGCUAAUACCGCAUACGCCCUACGGGGGAAAGCAGGGGAUCUUCGGACCUUGCACUAUUGGAUGAGCCUAUGUCAGAUUAGCUUGUUGGUGGGGUAACGGCCUACCAAGGCGACGAUCCAUAGCUGGUUUGAGAGGAUGAUC
rnacentral:rRNA from 1 species